CCUACGGGUGGCUGCAGUGAGGAAUAUUGGUCAAUGGGCGAGAGCCUGAACCAGCCAAGUCGCGUGAGGGAAGACGGUCCUACGGAUUGUAAACCUCUUUUGUCAGGGAGCAAGGAGCGCCACGAGUGGUGCGGCGAGUGUACCUGAAGAAAAAGCAUCGGCUAACUCCGUGCCAGCAGCCGCGGUAAUACGGAGGAUGCGAGCGUUAUCCGGAUUUAUUGGGUUUAACGGGUGCGCAGGCGGUCUGUUAAGUCAGCGGUCAAAGCCCGGGGCUCAACCCCGGCCCGCCGUUGAAACUGGCAGUCUCGAGUUGGAGAGAAGUAUGCGGAAUGCGCGGUGUAGCGGUGAAAUGCAUAGAUAUCGCGCAGAACUCCGAUUGCGAAGGCAGCAUGCCGGCUCCACACUGACGCUGAGGCACGAAAGCGUGGGUAUCGAACAGGAUUAGAUACCCCAGUAGUC
rnacentral:rRNA from 1 species